rnacentral:lncRNA from 1 species
GCCCGGUGCUCGUAUGCCAGCUGGAUCUUCAGUUGUUGCAGCUCAGCCAUCUUUUCCCCGAGGGCGACGAAAAUCCCUUCAACGGUUCCUCUUAGGGACUGGAGCUCAUCAGAAUCCCGAGCGGAAGUAAGCUGAGCCCUGUCAGCCAGCUGCCUCUGAAGACGGGCGACUUCGUCGGUCGCCACCCUGAGUCUCCCUUUAUAUUCAUCCACCUGCCUGCGCCAACCGACCCGGUGCAUGUCGUAGCUCAUCUCGACGUCUUGAAGCUGCUGCUGAAGGGCGGAGACCCUCUUCGACCACUCCCGA